GUCCACGCCGUAAACGAUGACUACUAGGUGUCGGGGAGCAAAGCUCUUCGGUGCCGCAGCAAACGCAAUAAGUAGUCCACCUGGGGAGUACGUUCGCAAGAAUGAAACUCAAAGGAAUUGACGGGGACCCCGCACAAGCGGUGGAGCAUGUGGUUUAAUUCGAAGCAACGCGAAGAACCUUACCUGCUCUUGACAUCCCGGUGACCGGCAUGUAAUGAUGCCUUUUCUUCGGAACAUCGGUGACAGGUGGUGCAUGGUUGUCGU
rnacentral:rRNA from 1 species